GACUAACAUAGAUAUCAACAAAAGUGGUUGAAACAUGCAAGAUUAUCGCAGAGAAUAUCGCUAAUAUAGCAUGUUACAUUUCCAUAGCAUACGGAAGAGUACAACUGGACAUAAAUCAGCAAAAUUCUGAGGAUCAAGCAAAUAUGUUUCUUCUCACCCUAUAAAUAGGCUCCUAACACUUACCAAGACCAUUUGGGGCCCAUUG
rnacentral:misc_RNA from 1 species